rnacentral:lncRNA from 10 species
AGACAGAGUCUGGCUCUGUUGCCCAGGCUGAAGUGCAAUGGUGCAAUCAGAAUUUACUGCAACCUCGACCUCCUGGGCUCAAGUGAUCCUCCUGACUCACUCAGCUUCCUAAGUAGCUGGGACUACUGGUGCGUACCACCAUGCCCGGCCCUUUCCAUCAUAAUGUGAAGAAGCCGAAGCAGCCUGUGAAGAGGCGCUAGUGGAAAGGAACUCAGGUGCCCCUGCCCUCAGUCCCAGCUGAACUCUCAGCUGACAGCCAUCACCAACUUGCCAGCCACAGGAGUGAGCCAACUUGAGAGUGGAUCUUUCAGUCCCAGUGGAGCCAUCUCAGCUGACACACCAUGGUAAAAAGAUGAACCAUCCUUGCUGAUCCUUGCCAGUGCUGCAGAUACAUAAGCAAAAUAAAUGUUUUUGUUGUUUUAAGCCACU